ensembl:lncRNA
AUGACCUCAUUUAGUGACGCUGAAAUCACCGCGAGCGGCACACACCUUUUCUUGGAAGUUGAAGACGGUUUCGGCCAGACGCUGGACGUACGGGUCGAGUUUGUAGGACUCCCAGACCAGAGAGAUGCCCUCGGUGAUGAGCGAGAUGGCGAAGGGGUACAGCUGAUUGGCCUGAUGGGCUUUGUUGACGAUGGCCAGCGGCACGCGGAAGCUCAGCCACUUCAGGUUGCGCACCUCUUUGGAGAGCGUGAUGAUCUCGGGCAGGAAGUUGACCUUGAGCUUGAGCACGGUGCCGGUGCGUCCGCGGGCGCGCGUGUUCUCGAUGGUGAAGAUGCGGCCGGACACGCCCAGGUUGCGCUGCUGCACCUUCCUCGCCCAGUCGUCGAAGAUCUCCUGCGUGUUGAGCUUGGCGCGGAAGCUGUCUCCGUCCUGCUUGAGCUUCAGACCCUCCACGUGGUUCUCCCAGCCCUUGCCGAGGACGUCUUCCACGCGCUUCAUGUAGGCCGUCAGCUGCCGGUCGAUCUGCUUGGCCCAGAUGAUGGAGCCGGAGACGGGGGGCAGGUCUCGCACGUGGCUCAUCUUGCACGACUGGCUCUGAGGAUACUGCACCUUGAACUUGUCGUGCAGAGCCUCGAUGUCGUCUUUGACGCGCUGGAUGAGCUGCGUCUGGUACUCUCGGAUGGCUCCGCGGAUGUGCGGCCGCACGAACAGGGCGUUGAAGCGGGAGAAGAUGCGGAACAUCUCGUUGGCGUUCUUGGCGGUGCCCAGCUGGUCGCGCAGGCGUGCCGUGAUGCGUGUCUCCACGCGGUCGAUGCGCUCGUCGUAGCGCUUCAUGGCCGCUUCCCAGGCCUCCACUCCCUCCUUCGAGACGUCCAGUCCGUCCACUUCCUUCACGUUCUCGUAGGCCAGAUUGACUUCCUCGAUGGCGUUGACGUCUGCGGCAUCAAAGAGCACCUCGGCCACCUUCAUAUCGUCGGGCUCGGCCGUCUUUCCCUGAGCAUGCUGGGGCACGGCGGACACCUGGAGAGACGCAAAGACUUUAUUAGCUUUUGCUCUGUGGAAUACUCUAUUCUGAUUGGUCAGUCACCAGACUGCAAGCUAUUGUUAAUAACCGGGUCACUGCAGUCGGCUCUAUACGCUCGGAAGCUUUGUGUUUAGUUAGCUAAUAAUAAAAUAUUAGAACUCAAUUCA